rnacentral:rRNA from 1 species
UACGUAGGGUGCAAGCGUUGUCCGGAUUUAUUGGGCGUAAAGAGCUCGUAGGCGGUCUGUUGCGUCGGGAGUGAAAGCCCGUUGCUUAACGGCGGGUUGGCUUUCGGUACGGGCAUGCUGGAGUGCGGCAGGGAGACUGGAAUUCCUGGUGUAGCGGUGGAAUGCGUAGAGAUCCGGAAGAACACCGGUGGCGAAGGCGGCCUGCUGGGCAGUUUGCUGACACUGAGGCGCGACAGCGUGGGGAGCAAACAGG